UACGUAGGGGGCGAGCGUUAUCCGGAAUUACUGGGCGUAAAGCGCACGCAGGCGGUUCGCCAAGUUUGGAGUGACAGUUGUCGGCUCAACCGACAAAGGACUUCAAAAACUGGUGAACUUGAGGACGAGAGAGGAACAUGGAACUCCAGGUGUAGUAAUGAAAUGCGUAGAUAUCUGGAAGAACACCAAUGGCGAAGGCAAUGUUCUGGCUCGUUUCUGACGCUCAGGUGCGAAAGCCAGGGGAGCGAACGGG
rnacentral:rRNA from 1 species